UCGGGAAUAUUGGGCAAUGGGCGAAAGCCUGACCCAGCAACGCCGCGUGAAGGAUGAAGGCCCUCGGGUCGUAAACUUCUGUCGAGAGGGAAGAAUGCGUGCGGGUGAAUAAUCCGUACGUUUGACGGUACCUCCAAAGGAAGCACCGGCUAACUCCGUGCCAGCAGCCGCGGUAAUACGGAGGGUGCAAGCGUUGUUCGGAUUUAUUGGGCGUAAAGCGAGUGUAGGCGGUUUGACAAGUCGGGUGUGAAAUCCCAGGGCCCAACCCUGGAACUGCACCCGAUACUGUCAGGCUAGAGUCCCGGAGAGGGUGGCGGAAUUCCCGGUGUAGGGGUGAAAUCCGUAGAUAUCGGGAGGAACACCAGUGGCGAAGGCGGCCACCUGGACGGUGACUGACGCUGAGACUCGAAAGCGUGGGUAGCAAACAGGAUUAGAUACCCCCGUAGUCC
rnacentral:rRNA from 1 species